rnacentral:rRNA from 1 species
UACGUAGGGGGGCUAGCGUUGUCCGGAAUCAUUGGGCGUAAAGCGCGUGUAGGCGGUUCGGUAAGUCCGCUGUGAAAGUCGGGGGCUCAACCCUCGGAAGCCGGUGGAUACUGUCGAGCUAGAGUACGGAAGAGGCGAGUGGAAUUCCUGGUGUAGCGGUGAAAUGCGCAGAUAUCAGGAGGAACACCAAUUGCGAAGGCAGCUCGCUGGGACGUUACUGACGCUGAGACGCGAAAGCGUGGGGAGCAAACAGG